rnacentral:rRNA from 1 species
GAUGAAUGCUGGCGGCGUGCCUAACACAUGCAAGUCGAACGCACCGCAAGGUGAGUGGCGCACGGGUGAGUAACACGUGGGAAUGUAUCCUUUGGUUCGGAAUAACGUCUGGAAACGGACGCUAAUACCGGAUGAGCCCUUAGGGGGAAAGAUUUAUCGCCGAAGGAGCAGCCCGCGUCUGAUUAGGUAGUUGGUGGGGUAAAGGCCUACCAAGCCGACGAUCAGUAGCUGGUCUGAGAGGAUGAUCAGCCACACUGGGACUGAGACACGGCCCAGACUCCGACGGGAGGCAGCAGUGGGGAAUAUUGGACAAUGGGCGCAAGCCUGAUCCAGCCAUGCCGCGUGAGUGAUGAAGGCCUUCGGGUUGUAAAGCUCUUUCGCACACGACGAUGAUGACGGUAGUGUGAGAAGAAGCCCCGGCUAACUUCGUGCCAGCCGCCGCAGUAA